CGCCGGGACCCCGGGAAGGACCGGCCGAGGCUGCACGGAGGGUCGGGCCUCCCCCGGCCUCCCCCGGCCUCCCCGGGCGUCCCCCGGCCUCCGAGCCCAGAUGUGUCCCGCAGCGCUGCGGGAUCGGGGCCCGGACGAAUCGCCUCUCGCCCUGCGCCGGUAGCGGGGCAGGGGGGCGCGGUGUGGCCGCGGGACGCGGUGUAUCCGAGGGGCUCAGUGCGGCCGUGGAGGGAGGGUCCCCGCGGAUGGAGGCCAGCGGCUCGGGCCCCGGGCGGAGCCGCCCCCCGCAGCCGGGCGCGGGAGCCCUGUCUCCCGGGGAGGUGAGCAUCCGUAGCCCGGCCGGCCGGGACCCUCCGGCCCAGGACCCGCUGCUCCGGAGGUCCGGCUCCGGCUACGAGGGCAGCACCAGCUGGAAGGCGGCGUUGGAGGACACGACAACCCGACUCCUGCUGGGAGCCAUAUCUGUUCUGCUCUUUGCUAUUCUGGUGGUGAUGAGCAUCUUGGCAUCCAAGGGCUGCAUCAAUUGCCAGGCCCCAUGCCCUGAGGAUUGGCUGCUCUAUGGACGGAAAUGCUACUUCUUCUCGGAUGACUCAAGGGACUGGAACACAGGCCGCCAGUACUGCCACACACGCGAGGCUGCCCUGGCCGUGGUCGAGAGCCAGAAGGAGCUGGACUUCCUGUUCAAGUUCACCAGGAGGGAGCCCUGGAUCGGUCUGCGGCGAGUUGGGGAUGAGUUUCACUGGGUGAACGGGGCCCCCUUCGACCCCGACGCGUUCUCCAUAGGUGGCCACGGCGAAUGCGUCUUUGUGGAGCCGACCCGCCUGCUGGCAUCCGGCUGCCUGCUGACGAGGCCUUGGGUGUGCAGCAAGGCCGCGUACACCUGAGGGACGGCGUGGGAUUUAUGGCUGCAGGGGUGGGGCUUAGCGAACGCCUGCAGGGACAGGGCUGACUGUCCAGACUUCAGGGACGAGGCUGACCAUCUGGGCCUCAGGGAUGGGGUUGACCAGCGGGUAUCGAGACCCAGCAAAGCAGCCUGCGGCCAACCCCAUCUAAUCCCCAGCCUAAGCGUCGGGACCCAGGGUGCCUGGUUUCUUUCCCCGCCACCCCCAGCCAGCCCACUGCUCCUGCCUGGGCAAGUCACAUUAUCCCGCCACCCCUCCAUCACCAGCCCCAUCAUUGGUUCCGUCACUGGCCUGAGCCCGAGCCUGGAACACACCUGGCCAUGGGGUUGGACCUGAGCUAAGGAGUGGAUGAGGCUCAGCUCCGGCCUUUCCCACUGGCGGCCCCCUUGGAGGCUCUACCUUGGCUGAAGUUUUUGUGUUUCUACCUCAUCAAACCCACCCUCCUCGACUGCUGAACUUUCCUUCCGAGACUUCAUCUUUCAAUCAACCCAUUCAGGCCCUGCCAUGGUCAUUUCCCCACAGUUUGAGUUGUACCAGGUUCUGGUUGCAGCGCAGAACAGAUGCGAGAUUCGGACAACAGGCGUCAGUGAGACCGCAGUCCUGCAUCCUGACAGAGAGACCCCGGCGAGGCCGUGACCAUACUCGUCUCCUUGGUUCAUGCCUGGUCCUCCUCUCCUGGGCAGAGGCGGUGACCUGGAGCUGUAGCCACGUGGCCCAGCCCUUCCCGAUAGGGGUCCAGGGGCUGCUCAUUUCUUCCAAGGUGCAAAUAAAUCAGGUUCCUGUUACUGGUGAGAGCGGAGCAGAGAUCCCUACAACAGGCAGCUGUGAGACUGCAGUCUUCCAACCUGUAGGAGACCCCCGAGGAAUGAAGGCCUGUGGCCUCUCAGCCUAAGCCUGAUUCUGACCAGAUGGAUCAGGAUCAAAAGCGGGAGAGAGACGUUGCUGCUGGAGAGACUGAAAGUCCAUCUGGACUCUGUGCCAGGUACCCAUGUGAGGAAACAAACGUCUGUUUGGCUCACAGGACAAGAGCAGGAAGGCGGAAAUCUGGACAGUGACCACGCCCCAGGAGUGUUCCUGGAAAGAUCUAAACUCGGGAAUUUCCCGGGGCAGGAAGGACAGGUGGAUUCUGACCCCGGCCAGGCCCUCCAAGCUCAUUGGAUCAGUACUAAGUGUACCUUUCUAAUAAUAUUCACAGAGGAAAGGGGCUGGGCAGGCUAAACUUCCCGACAACGAAGUCUUCACAUUCUCAGUUGACCAGUGGAAUUUGUUGAGCACUUAUUAUGUGCAGAUGAAGCCCUCUUUUCCCAGACUCCCUCUCCAUUCUUCAUUGUCUACUCACUUGGAUCAGUAUCUGAGGGCAUUUGAUAUUCACCCCCCUUUCAGUUCCAUAACACUUAUGGAUAUAACACUAAUUUAUUUAGUUCUAUUAACGUCUGUCUCCCCCCUACAGUGUAAGCUCCUUGUGGGCAAGGA